rnacentral:rRNA from 1 species
GAUGAACGCUGGCGGCGUGCCUAAUACAUGCAAGUCGAGCGAACGGACGAGAAGCUUGCUUCUCUGAUGUUAGCGGCGGACGGGUGGGUAACACGUGGAUAACCUACCUAUAAGACUGGGAUAACUUCGGGAAACCGGAGCUAAUACCGGAUAAUAUUUUGCACCGCAUGGUUCAAAAGUGAAAGACGGUCCUGCUGUCACUUAUAGAUGGAUCCGCGCUGCAUUAGCUAGUUGGUAAGGUAACGGCUUACCAAGGCAACGAUGCAUAGCCGACCUGAGAGGGUGAUCGGCCACACUGGAACGGAGACACGGUCCAGACUCCUACGGGAGGCAGAAGAAGGGAAUCUUCCGCAAUGGGCGAAAGCCUGACGGAGCAACGCCGCGUGAGUGAUGAAGGUCCUCGGAUCGUAAAACUCUGUUAUUAGGGAAGAACAUAUGUGUAAGUAACUGUGCACAUCUUGACGGUACCUAAUCAGAAAGCCACGGCUAACUACGUG